rnacentral:rRNA from 1 species
GACGAACGCUGGCGGCGUGCUUAACACAUGCAAGUCGAACGGAAAGGCCCUGCUUUUGUGGGGUGCUCGAGUGGCGAACGGGUGAGUAACACGUGAGUAACCUGCCCUUGACUUUGGGAUAACUUCAGGAAACUGGGGCUAAUACCGGAUAGGAGCUCCUGCUGCAUGGUGGGGGUUGGAAAGUUUCGGCGGUUGGGGAUGGACUCGCGGCUUAUCGGCUUGUUGGUGGGGUAGUGGCUUACCAAGGCUUUGACGGGUAGCCGGCCUGAGAGGGUGACCGGGCACAUUGGGACUGAGAUACGGCCCAGACUCCUACGGGAGGCAGCAGUGGGAAAUAUUGCACAAUGGGCGGAAGCCUGAUGCAGCAACGCCGCGUGCGGGAUGACGGCCUUCGGGUUGUAAACCGCUUUCGCCUGUGACGAAGCGUGAGUGACGGUAAUGGGUAAAGAAGCACCGGCUAACUACGUG